rnacentral:rRNA from 1 species
UGGGGAAUAUUGCACAAUGGGCGGAAGCCUGAUGCAGCGACGCCGCGUGAGGGAUGACGGCCUUCGGGUUGUAAACCUCUUUCAGCAGGGACGAAGCGUGAGUGACGGUACCUGCAGAAGAAGCGCCGGCCAACUACGUGCCAGCAGCCGCGGUAAGACGUAGGGCGCGAGCGUUGUCCGGAUUUAUUGGGCGUAAAGAGCUCGUAGGCGGCUUGUCGCGUCGUCCGUGAAAACCCGGGGCUCAACUCCGGGCUUGCGGGCGAUACGGGCAGGCUAGAGUUCGGUAGGGGAGACUGGAAUUCCUGGUGUAGCGGUGAAAUGCGCAGAUAUCAGGAGGAACACCGGUGGCGAAGGCGGGUCUCUGGGCCGAUACUGACGCUGAGGAGCGAAAGCGUGGGGAGCGAACA